rnacentral:rRNA from 1 species
UGGGGAAUAUUGGACAAUGGACCAAAAGUCUGAUCCAGCAAUUCUGUGUGCACGAUGACGUUUUUCGGAAUGUAAAGUGCUUUCAGUUGGGAAGAAAAAAAUGACGGUACCAACAGAAGAAGUGACGGCUAAAUACGUGCCAGCAGCCGCGGUAAUACGUAUGUCACAAGCGUUAUCCGGAUUUAUUGGGCGUAAAGCGCGUCUAGGUGGUUAUGUAAGUCUGAUGUGAAAAUGCAGGGCUCAACUCUGUAUUGCGUUGGAAACUGCAUGACUAGAGUACUGGAGAGGUAAGCGGAACUACAAGUGUAGAGGUGAAAUUCGUAGAUAUUUGUAGGAAUGCCGAUGGGGAAGCCAGCUUACUGGACAGAUACUGACGCUAAAGCGCGAAAGCGUGGGUAGCAAACAGGAUUAGAUACCCUGGUAGUCCACGCCGUAAACGAUGAUUACUAGGUGUUGGGGGUCGGACCUCAGCGCCCAAGCUAACGCGAUAAGUAAUCCGCCUGGGGAGUACGUACGCAAGUAUG